GACAGAGGAGCCAAGCGUUGUCCGGACUGACUGGGCGUAAAGCGCACGCAGGCGGCGCUGCGCGUGGGGUGUGAAAGCUCUUGGCUUAACUGAGAGAGGCCAUCCCAUACGGCAGCGCUCGAGCCAUGCAGAGGUCCGCGGAAUUGCCGGUGUAGUGGUGAAAUGCGUAGAGAUCGGCAGGAACACCCAGGGGGAAACCAGCGGACUGGGCAUGUGCUGACGCUCAGGUGCGACAGCGUGGGGAGCGAGCCGG
rnacentral:rRNA from 1 species